rnacentral:rRNA from 1 species
CCUACGGGAGGCAGCAGUCGAGAAUCAUUCACAAUGGGGGAAACCCUGAUGGUGCGACGCCGCGUGGGGGAAUGAAGGUCUUCGGAUUGUAAACCCCUUUCAUGUGGGAGCAAAUUAAAAAGAUAGUACCACAAGAGGAAGAGACGGCUAACUCUGUGCCAGCAGCCGCGGUAAUACAGAGGUCUCAAGCGUUGUUCGGAAUCACUGGGCGUAACGCGUGCGUAGGCUGUUUCGUAAGUCGUGUGUGAAAGGCGCGGGCUCAACCCGCGGACGGCACAUGAUACUGCGAGCCUAGAGUAAUGGAGGGGGAAGCGGAAUUCGCGGUGUAGCAGUGAAAUGCGUAGAUAUCGAGAGGAACACUGGUGGCGAAGGCGGGUUCCUGGACAUUAACUGACGCUGAGGCACGAAGGCCAGGGGAGCGAAAGGGAUUAGAUACCCGUGUAGUC